rnacentral:rRNA from 1 species
AACACAUGCAAGUCGAGCGAUGAUUCGCUUCUUCGGAAGCGAUGAUUAGCGGCGGACGGGUGAGUAACACGUGGGUAACCUGCCUCAAAGAGGAGAAUAGCCUCCCGAAAGGGAGAUUAAUACUGCAUAAUAUGUUUUGAUCGCAUGAUCGAAACAUCAAAGGAAUUAUCUUCGGAUUAUUCCACUUUGAGAUGGACCCGCGGCGCAUUAGCUAGUUGGUGAGGUAACGGCUCACCAAGGCAACGAUGCGUAGCCGACCUGAGAGGGUGAUCGGCCACAUUGGAACUGAGACACGGUCCAGACUCCUACGGGAGGCAGCAGUGGGGAAUAUUGCGCAAUGGGCGAAAGCCUGACGCAGCAACGCCGAGUGAAGGAUGAAAUCCUUCGGGAUGCAAACUUCGCAAAUAUGGGAAGAACUCAAUGACGGUACCAUAUGUAAGCCCCGGCUAACUCCGUGCCAGCAGCCGCGGUAAUACGGGGGGGGCAAGCGUUGUUCGGAAUUACUGGGCGUAAAGCGCGCGUAGGCGGCUUUUCAAGUCAGACGUGAAAGCCCCAGGCUUAACCUGGGAGCUGCGUUUGGUACUGUUGAGCUAGAGUGUGGAAGGGGCUACUGGAAUUCCGUGUGUAGCGGUGAAAUGCGUAGAUAUACGGAGGAACACCAGCGGCGAAGGCGGGUAGCUGGGCCAAC